AGAGUUUGAUCCUGGCUUAGAUUGAACGCUGGCGGCAUGCCUAACACAUGCAAGUCGAAUGCGAAAGCACCUUCGGGUGUGAGUAGAGUGGCGGACGGGUGAGUAAUGCUUGGGAAUCUGCCUAGUAGUGGGGGAUAAUUUGAGGAAAUUUGAGUUAAUAUUGUAUAUGUUUUAUGGGGGAAAGAUUUAUCGCUAUUAGAUGAGCCCAAGUCAGAUUAGCUAGUUGGUGGGGUAAAGGUUUAUUAAGGUAAUGAUUUGUAGCUGGUCUGAGAGGACGAACAGCCAUACUGGGACUGAGACAUGGCUUAGAUUUUUAUGGGAGGUAGUAGUGGGGAAUAUUGGAUAAUGGGUGAAAGCCUGAUCCAGUAAUGCCGCGUGUGUGAAGAAGGCCUGUGGGUUGUAAAGUAUUUUCAGUUGGGAAGAUUAUGAUGUUAUUAAUAGAAGAAGCACCGGUUAACUCCGUGCUAGUAGUUGUGGUAAUACGGAGGGUGCAAGCGUUAAUCGGAAUUACUGGGCGUAAAGCGCGCGUAGGCGGCUUGGUCAGUCAGAUGUGAAAUCCCCGUGUUUAACCUGGGAAUUGCAUUUGAUACUGCUAGGCUAGAGUAUGGUAGAGGGAAGUGGAAUUUUAGGUGUAGUGGUGAAAUGUGUAGAUAUUUGGAGGAAUAUUAGUGGUGAAGGUGACUUCCUGGACCAAUACUGACGCUGAGGUGCGAAAGCGUGGGUAGCAAACAGGAUUAGAUAUCCUGGUAGUUCACGCCGUAAACGAUGUCAACUAGCCGUCGGGUCCAUUUAAGGAUUUGGUGGCGCAGCUAAUGUGAUAAGUUGACCGCCUGGGGAGUACGGCCGCAAGGUUAAAACUCAAAGGAAUUGACGGGGGCCCGCACAAGCGGUGGAGCAUGUGGUUUAAUUCGAUGCAACGCGAAGAACCUUACCAGCCCUUGACAUCCUCGGAACUUUCUAGAAAUAGAUUGGUGCCUUCGGGAACCGAGUGACAGGUGCUGCAUGGCUGUCGUCAGCUCGUGUUGUGAGAUGUUGGGUUAAGUUUUGUAACGAGCGUAACCCUUGUCCUUAGUUGCCAGCAUUUUGGAUGGGAAUUUUAAGGAGACUGCCGGUGAUAAACCGGAGGAAGGUGGGGAUGACGUCAAGUCAUCAUGGCCCUUAUGGGCUGGGCUACACACGUGCUACAAUGGCCGGUACAGAGGGCUGCGAACCCGUAAGGGGGAGCUAAUCUCAUAAAACCGGUCGUAGUCCGGAUCGCAGUCUGCAAUUUGACUGCGUGAAGUCGGAAUCGCUAGUAAUCGCAGAUUAGAAUGUUGCGGUGAAUACGUUCCCGGGCCUUGUACACACCGCCCGUCACACCAUGGGAGUGGGUUGCAAAAGAAGUGGGUAGCUUAACCUUUGGGAGGGCGCUCACCAUUUUGUGAUUCAUGACUGGGGUGAAGUUGGAACAAGGUA
rnacentral:rRNA from 1 species